rnacentral:rRNA from 1 species
UACAGAGGUGGCAAGCGUUGUUCGGAAUUACUGGGCGUAAAGGGCGCGUAGGCGGCCUUCUAAGUCAGACGUGAAAUCCCCCGGCUUAACCUGGGAACUGCGUCUGAUACUGGGAGGCUCGAGUAUGGGAGAGGGAUGUAGAAUUCCAGGUGUAGCGGUGAAAUGCGUAGAUAUCAAGCGGAACACCGGUGGCGAAGGCGGCCUUCUGGACAGUGACUGACGCUGAGACGCGAAAGCGUGGGGAGCAAACAGG